AUUGAACGCUGGCGGCAGGCUUAACACAUGCAAGUCGAACGAGUGGCGGACGGGUGAGUAAUGCUUGGGAAUCUAGCUUAUGGAGGGGGAUAACUACUGGAAACGGUAGCUAAUACCGCAUACCAUCGGAUGUGCCCAGAUGGGAUUAGCUAGUAGGUGGGGUAAAGGCUCACCUAGGCGACGAUCCCUAGCUGGUCUGAGAGGAUGGCCAGCCACACGGGAACUGAGACACGUUCCAGACUCCUACGGGAGGCAGCAGUGGGGAAUAUUGCACAAUGGGCGCAAGCCGGAUGCAGCCAUGCCGCGUGUAUGAAGAAGGCCUUCGGGUUGUAAAGUACUUUCAGCGGGGAGGCGUUACCCGCAGAAGAAGCACCGGCUAACUCCGUGCCAGCAGCCGCGGUAAUUC
rnacentral:rRNA from 1 species